rnacentral:rRNA from 1 species
AUUGAACGCUGGCGGCAGGCCUAACACAUGCAAGUCGAACGAGUGGCGGACGGGGGAGGAAUGUCUGGGAAACUGCCUGAUGGAGGGGGAUAACUACGGGAAACGGUAGCUAAUACCGCAUACCAUCAGAUGUGCCCAGAUGGGAUUAGUUAGUUUGUGUGGUAACUGCUCACCAAGGCGACGAUCCCUAGCUGGUCUGAGAGGAUGACCAGCAACACUGGAACUGAGAACCGGUCCAGACUCCUACGGGAGGCAGCAGUGGGGAAUAUUGCACAAGGGGCGCAAGCCUGAUGCAGCCAUGCCGCGUGUAUGAAGAAGGCCUGCGGGUUGUAAAGUACUUUCAGCGGGGAGGCGUUACCCGCAGAAGAAGCACCGGCUAACUCCGUGCCAGCAGCCGCGGUAAUAC